CUGGGAGGCUGGAGCAUUUGGCCUUCCGCGGAUGGGCCCCAUUACGGCUGCAGCCUGGCGCCACGGCUGCGGGGGCGGGCAGCGCGAGGAGAAGUGUCCUCCCGAUGGCGGGCGGGGGGCCACCAGCGCGAGCUUAACUCCUGCGGUCUCCAAGACUAAUUGCUCACGGUGGAAACACGCCUCAAAGUGCUCUGGCCUCGUCAAUAAUAGGAGUGGCCAAGAUGUUCCUGCAGGUGCUGCGUAGAACCUGGCGGCAGGCUUUGGAAUGGAGCAGGCAGGAAAAGCUGAGGAUCACUGCAUUUGGAGGUGUUGGGAGUUCAGGGUGAGCGGAGCCGGUCAAGAUUCCCAAAGGGCACAGACAAGAGAUGGGACUCCUGGGACACCCAAGAUCCCUCCAAACACCUGGGGCUUCAUUAAAGGUGCAGAGCAGGGGUCUUGGCAACUACAGCCACAAAACAUCCCCACCUGACAGGUGGCCCAAACAUCCUGGGUGUGUCUGCUUAAAACAAGACAGUGUGGAGUCCACUCAUCCAGCAUGAAAUCCAACCAGAGCGGGCAGGCAGCGUCUCCACCAGCAUUUACUGGUGCUGACAAUGGCUCAUUGAUUGACAUCGAUGUGUUCCUAAUCUGCUUCCACCCAGCCACCAAAAAGAGCACCAAAUGGAGCACAGUACAUGGAGGACAGUGGCUGCAUUCCUGCCACCACUGUGCUUACAGGACCUAGAGCAGCAAAUAGCACAUAGUAGGUGCUCCCAAAGCAGGGAUCAACCAACUGCCUCAAGUUCCUUAACUGUGAAGUGAUUAUAAAAGAGUACCUUGUGCUGAAGUUGGAAACAAGACGGUUGUGUCAAGCUGUCAGAUCAAGAAAGUGCGCCUGGUUAGUGCUCCGUGAAUGCAAAUGAUUCUGAGCAUCAGCAACAGUGGCAUAGCUUAAUACAGAAACCAAACGCAAGGAGAUCUUCACUUGCUUCUGUCCUCAACAAAAAUACCACUGCCAUGCCACUAAUUCAAUGGAUAAUAACAGUCACAAAUGGAAAAGCCAAUUUCCACCUCAUAUGAUCAUCUUAUUUGCCCCUGAGCUUGCUUGGGGACCUAAGUUGAAACACAGGAAUGUGGAUUCCAGAGUCCAGCACUGAAUACUGAUAAGGAAGCUGAGAUUCCAAGAAGGAGAGUCACUUCCCCAAAGUCACACAGCCUGUGCAGCUCUAAACGUGAAACCAGAUCUGCUUAACGUCCACAUUGAAAUGACCUCUGAUCAUGUCCCAUGGAGACUCUGGAAGAGUUUCAGGGACCCCUCGGGCUCUAAGUUGCAUCGUUUAUUUGAUGGUUAGCACAUUGCCAAUCUUACAGUAAGCACUGAGAAAAUCUUUAAAAAUGGGAGAUUUCUUCUUUAUUCUAUGGUUAACAAGAAAGAAGAUGGCUCUUUCUCAACCUUUAUUUAGUGUCUAAAAAUGUAUAACUAUAGGAGUACUUUUUAAAAAUUCCUCAACAGUGACACUCUGGACUCAAAGCAGCUACCUAUUGGGUGAGGACACUCAGGUGCCCUGAGUCUAGGGCUGACACCACCAGGGUUGUGAUGCAGGAGGGCUCAGCUUUCUCCAUCUUUUCAGUGAAGUUGUCUAAUUUUCAAAAAAUUAUGUAGCAAAUGAACAAUUUUUUUUUCUAAAUUAAACCUUAAAUAGAGACCCGUGUAAGAGCAGGUAGGGUGAAGACCUGAAGAAGUCCUAGCCUCUCCCUCAGGAAUCCCCUUGGCACAGCCACAGAGUCUUUGGAUUCUGUUUCAAAAGCACCAAGCCACUCAACUGCAUGUUCCCUGUCCCCAAGGCCAAAGCCCCUUCCCUCUUCACUACCUGCUCACAAGGAAACAGGAAGGAAGGACAGUAGGUCUCCCAAAUCCUGUUUUUAUUUCUUCCUUCUGUUUGUGGAACUGUUAAAUAGAAUUUUAUGACACGG